GUGGGGAAUAUUGGACAAUGGGCGAAAGCCUGAUCCAGCCAUGCCGCGUGUGUGAAGAAGGUCUUCGGAUUGUAAAGCACUUCAAGUUGGGAGGAAGGGCAGUAAGUUAAUACCUUGCUGUUUUGACGUUACCGACAGAAUAAGCACCGGCUAACUUCGUGCCAGCAGCCGCGGUAAUACGAAGGGUGCAAGCGUUAAUCGGAAUUACUGGGCGUAAAGCGCGCGUAGGUGGUUUUGUAAGUUGGAGGUGAAAUCCCCGGGCUCAACCUGGGAACUGCCUCCAAAACUGCAUGACUAGAGUACGGUAGAGGGUAGUGGAAUUUCCUGUGUAGCGGUGAAAUGCGUAGAUAUAGGAAGGAACACCAGUGGCGAAGGCGACUACCUGGACUGAUACUGACACUGAGGUGCGAAAGCGUGGGGAGCAAACAGGAUUAGAAACCCUAGUAGUCC
rnacentral:rRNA from 1 species